rnacentral:rRNA from 1 species
UAAGAGGUCCCGCCUGCCCAGUGACCACAUGUUCAACGGCCGCGGUACUUUGACCGUGCGAAGGUAGCGUAAUCACUUGUCUUUUAAAUGAAGACCUGUAUGAAUGGCACGACGAGGGCUUAACUGUCUCCUUUUUCCAGUCAAUGAAAUUGAUCUCUCCGUGCAGAAGCGGGGAUAGCAUCAUAAGACGAGAAGACCCUGUGGAGCUUUAGACACUAAAUCAGCCCCUGUCAAACACCCCCCUCUAAAGGGCCAAACACUAGGGGUGCCCUGAUUUGAUGUCUUCGGUUGGGGCGACCCCGGGGAAAGAAAAAACCCCCGCGUGGAAUAGGAGUAUUACACUCCCAAAACUAAGAGCCACCACUCAAAGUAUCAGAAAUUCUGACCAACUACGUGAUCCAGCUUAACGCCGAUCAACGGACCAAGUUACCCCAGGGAUAACAGCGCAAUCCUCUUUUAGAGCCCAUAUCGACAAGAGGGUUUACGACCUCGAUGUUGGAUCAGGACAUCCUAAUGGUGUAGCCGCUAUUAAGGGCUCGUUUGUUCAACGAUUAAAGUCC